GGGACCGUAGCUCAGACUGGGAGAGCACUACGCUGAAGACUUAAAUCAUGGGUUCAAAUCCCAUCGGUCCCA
rnacentral:tRNA from 1 species